rnacentral:rRNA from 1 species
CAAAUGACUCUCGGCAAUGGAUAUCUCGGCUCUUGCAUCGAUGAAGAACGUAGUGAAAUGCGAUACUUGGUGUGAAUUGCAGAAUCUCGUGAACCAAUGAGUCUUUGAACGCAAGUUGUGCCCGAGGCCUUGUGGUCGAGGGCACGCCUGCUUGGGCGUCAUGG